rnacentral:lncRNA from 1 species
GUACUCAUACUUCUUGUGAUGAUGAUAUGAGAUGAUAAAAUGUCUAUGGGAUCAGAUGAGAUGAGGUGUCACAUAUGCAUUGUGACAUAGCUUUAGGCUAUUGUUGACCUUCUGAGGAUGUGUCAGAAGGAGGAUCACCUGCUUUAGGAUCACAGGAAACUUCAGCCACAGAAAGUGAACUGGAUGUGGUGGUGGUGGUGGUGGGGUGCUAUUCUAAUUAUAUGUUGGCAAGAUAGUUCUGCCUAAUGUUGGAAGGCAUUAAUGCAGAGAAGCUGAACUUCAUCCAGCAGAGUUUCCUGGUCAUGUUAGCCUUCCAGAAGAGAACCUACUUUUGUUUCACAUUCUUGCUCUCCAGGAAAGCAGACAGGGAGCAUUUCAGUAUCAGCACUUUUCACCCAUGCAGUGUGUAAGUGCAUCACUUAACAGCGGUCUUUUUAGGCCAAAGGAGAUAAAUCAUCCCAGGAACACAUGUAUUAUUUGCUUUGUGGAGAGGCUCAUGGGUGAAGAUGUAGAUUGGAGAAAUUUCUUCAAACAAGAAAGGGAUAGAGACACUACAGGGGGAUCAAAGUUUGAGAAGAAAAAGGAAGAAGGUUCAGGUGACAGGAAUUGAAAAGAGAGUCUGGGCAAUUUCAAAAAAAGAGAAGAGGGAUAGGAGAGAGGAGGGAAAGAAUUUUUAAGAUCUGUUGUGUCCUCUAUUGAGUAAUUCCUCUCUCCCCACAAAACCCCACAAAACCUUGAGUAAAAUUCAGUUGUUGGUCUGUGCUUUUGAAGGAUUUCUAUUUGUUUAUGACUCUGUAUGUAUGUAUGUGGCUUUAAAGUGUCAAUGGAUAUGAAAGAGUGGAAACCGGAGUUUUAACAGAAGCGGGGAUGUAGUAAGAGGCCAAGUAUGGCCGGGUGGUUCGUUCAGGUAGGAAGGAGUAUUCUAUUAGGGACAUCAUUUAGAAUUUUCUGUGCAUGGUGAUUUUAAAAAGACUAGUUUUUAUUAACUUUUAUUACAUUUUAAAAUUUGCUGUGAAUGUGCCACUUGAUUGCAGACACCUUGGCAGACUGCUCCUCCCACCUUGCUCUGUUGUUAGAAAUAAGCCAACAGCUCGCUUGCUUGCUUUCUUAUUACUAUUUUUUAAAUACUUUUAUUU